AGCAGUAGCCACGGUAAUACGAAGGGGGCUAGCGUUGUUCGGAUUUACUGGGCGUAAAGCGCACGUAGGCGGGCUUUUAAGUCAGGGGUGAAAUCCCGGGGCUCAACCCCGGAACUGCCUUUGAUACUGGAAGUCUUGAGUAUGGAAGAGGUGAGUGGAAUUCCGAGUGUAGAGGUGAAAUUCGUAGAUAUUCGGAGGAACACCAGUGGCGAAGGCGGCUCACUGGUCCAUUACUGACGCUGAGGUGCGAAAGCGUGGGGAGCAAACAGGAUUAGAUACCCCGGUAGUCCCUGUCUCUUAUAA
rnacentral:rRNA from 1 species